UGCAUGGAGAACACCUUAUGGUGCUAGUAUAUUCCAGAUGUCUGAAAGCAGUAGUGUUUUAAGCUGUGACAUAUCAGUUGACGAUCGUUUUAUUGUUACUGGAUCUGGAGACAAGAAGGCUACAGUGUAUGAAGUUAUACUAUGAGGUGAUAUUUGACUUGUAAUGAAUAAUGCAAUCUACACUUGAGUUUAGUCUCUUUGUUACAAGUACUGACUACAAAACUCUCAUGUAAUAUAAAAUCUCUAAUAAUUCCAGUUAAGAUAUUGUUUGUCAUGUUUGCUA
rnacentral:lncRNA from 1 species